rnacentral:tRNA from 1 species
GGGGGCAUGGCUCAGGUGGCAGAGCACCUGCCUAGGAAGUAUGAAGCCAUGAAGUUCAAAUCCCAGUACCACCA